rnacentral:rRNA from 1 species
UUAAGUAAGGAAGGGCGUACGGCGAAUGCCUGGCCACUCGAAACUGAAGAAGGACGCGCCAAACUGCGAAAAGCUCCGUGAAGCUGUAAGGAAGCGAAGAAGCGGAGGUGUCCGAAUGGGGGAACCCGGCAGCAGACAUGAGCUGUCAUCUGCAGGUGAAUACAUGGCCUGCAAGAGAGGUACCCGGCGAACUGAAACAUCUAAGUAGCCGGAGGAAAAGAAAACAACAGUGAUUCCCUGAGUAGCGGCGAGCGAAAGGGGAGAAGCCCAAACCGGUCCAAGGACCGGGGUUGAAGGACCAUGAUAUGGCAAGAGAGAGGAUAGAAGAACGGGAUCGAAAGCCCGGCCGAAGAAGGUGCAAGCCCUGUAAUUGAAAUCCGAUUGAAGCCUAAUGGGAUCCUGAGUACGGCGAGACACGAGGAAUCUUGUCGGAAGCAGGCGGGACCAUCCGCCAAGGCUAAAUAUAAACGAGUGAGCGAUAGUGAACCAGUACCGUGAGGGAAAGGUGAAAAGAACCGCGGGAGCGGAGUGAAAGAGAACCUGAAACCGUAUGCCUACAAGAAGUCAGAGCCCGUUAAGGGGUGAUGGCGUGCCUUUUGUAGAAUGAACCGGCGAGUUGCGACAGACUGCGAGGUUAAGGAGGAAAGACCGGAGCCGAAGCGAAAGCGAGUCUUAAGAGGGCGAAAGUAGGAUGUUGCAGACCCGAAACCGGGUGAUCUAGCCAUGAGCAGGUUGAAGUUGAGGUGAAACUCAAUGGAGGACCGAACCGACUACCGUUGAAAAGUUAGCGGAUGACUUGUGGCUAGGGGAGAAAUUCCAAUCGAACCCGGAGAUAGCUGGUUCUCCCCGAAAUAGCUUUAGGGCUAGCGUCGGAAAGAACCUUAGUGAAGGUAGAGCACUGAAUGUGUGAUGGCCCCAUCCCGGGGUACUGAAUACAAUCAAACUGCGAAUGUCAUUAAGGAUGUCCGGCAGUCAGACUGUGAGUGAUAAGGUCCAUGGUCAAGAGGGAAACAGCCCAGACCGCCAGUUAAGGUCCCAAAAUACAGGCUAAGUGGAAAAGGAUGUGGGGAUGCCCAGACAACUAGGAGGUUGGCUCAGAAGCAGCCAUCCUUUAAAGAGUGCGUAACAGCUCACUAGUCGAGUGACCCUGCGCCGAAAAUGUACCGGGGCUAAGCCUGAUACCGAAACUGCGGAUUGUAGGAAACUAUAGUGGUAGGGGAGCGUUGUAUACGAGUAGAAGCCGUACCGUGAGGAGCGGUGGAUUGUAUAGAAGUGAGAAUGCCGGUGUGAGUAGCGAGAUGUAGGUGAGAAUCCUACACACCGAAAGCCCAAGGAUUCCAGGGGAAGGUUCGUCCGCCCUGGGUAAGUCGGGACCUAACGCGAGGCCGAAAGGCGUAGUGGAUGGAAAGCAGGCGAAAGAUUCCUGCACCCGUAUAUGGAGCGAAGGAGUGACGGAGACGGAUAGUGUGACCCUCUUAAUGGAUUGAGGGCGAAGCGAAGCGGCUGGUUACCAGGCAAAUCCGGUAACCUUAAGGCUAGAGCGUGACAGGCAAGCGAAAUCUAAGGAAAGUAGCGAAGCACAUGAUGACGGCUUCCAGGAAAAGCUUCUGGCAAUGCAUAUGCGGCCCGUACCAAAACCGACACAGGUGGGCAGGGAGAGAAUCCCGAGGUGAGCGAGAGAACUGUUGCCAAGGAACUCGGCAAAAUGACUCCGUAAGUUAGCGAGAAGGAGUGCUUAAGCAAUUAAGCCGCAGUGAAGAGGCCCAAGCGACUGUUUAACUAAAACACAGCUCUCUGCGAAGUCGCAAGACGAAGUAUAGGGGGUGACACCUGCCCGGUGCUGGAAGGUUAAGAGGAUCUGUUAAGAGCGAUCUGAAGCAGUGAUCCGAAGCCCCAGUGAACGGCGGCCGUAACUAUAACGGUCCUAAGGUAGCGAAAUUCCUUGUCAGGUAAGUUCUGACCC